rnacentral:misc_RNA from 1 species
GGUUUCAAACUCCAAGCCCAGUCAACGUCCACUACUCCCACCACCUAACCGUCACCUCAUCGGCCAUGAAUCACACCUCAAUCCCACCCCCACGACCCUUCCCUCCUCCCUUCGGAUCAUGCUAGCCGCCAUUUCGUGGCUCCGCUCGCGCCGGAUUCGCUGCCUCUUUCUCAUCCUGUGUUCCCCUAUUCUUCUCCCUUUCCUCUGUGCUUCCUUCCCUCUUCUCUGCGCCGUCGAGCUCUGCAUCCGUACUUGCCGCCGCAGCCGGAGGAAAAAGGAAGGAAACGAUGAGAAACGGCUGCGGCGAUGCGAGGAGGGAUUCUGCGAUUGCGAUCGAUUAGUGGAAGAGGAAAAGGAAGUUGGGCUUUUGCAGAGGUAUUUGGAAGAU